AUUGAACGCUGGCGGCAGGCCUAACACAUGCAAGUCGAACGAGUGGCGGACGGGUGAGUAAUGUCUGGGAAACUGCCUGAUGGAGGGUGCUAACUACUGGAAACGGUAGCUAAUACCGCAUACCAUCGGAUGUUCCCAGAUGGGAUUAGCUCGUGGGUGGGGUAAAGGCUCACCUAGGCGACGAUCCCUAGCUGGUCUGAGAGGAUGACCAGCCACGAUGGAAAGGAGGCACGGUCCAGACUCCAACGGGAGGCAGCAGUGGGGAAUAUGGGACAAUGGGCGCAAGCCUAAUGCAGCCAGGCCGCGUGUAUGAAGAAGGCCUUCGGGUUGUAAGGUGCUUGCAGCGGGGAGGCGUUACCCGCAGAAGAAGCACCGGCUAACUCCGUGCCAGCAGCCGCGGUAAUAC
rnacentral:rRNA from 1 species